AUUGAACGCUGGCGGCAUGCCUUACACAUGCAAGUCGAACGGCAGCGGACCUUCGGGUGCCGGCGAGUGGCGAACGGGUGAGUAAUAUAUCGGAACGUACCUUUCAGUGGGGGAUAACGUAGCGAAAGUUACGCUAAUACCGCAUAUUCUGUGAGCAGGAAAGCAGGGGAUCGCAAGACCUUGCGCUGAUUGAGCGGCCGAUAUCAGAUUAGCUAGUUGGUGAGGUAAAGGCUCACCAAGGCGACGAUCUGUAGCGGGUCUGAGAGGAUGAUCCGCCACACUGGAACUGAGACACGGUCCAGACUCCUACGGGAGGCAACAGUGGGGAAUUUUGGACAAUGGGCGCAAGCCUGAUCCAGCCAUGCCGCGUGAGUGAAGAAGG
rnacentral:rRNA from 1 species